GAUCUCGUGGUUUAGAGUUUAUCACAUCUUUCUCACGCACAGAAGGUCAGCGGUUCGAGUCCGCCCGAAAUCA
rnacentral:tRNA from 1 species